CGAAAGGCGUAGUCGAUGGGAAACGGGUUAAUAUUCCCGUACUUCUUACAAUUGCGAUGGGGGGACGGAGAAGGCUAGGUGGGCCUGGCGACGGUUGUCCAGGUUCAAGUGCGUAGGCUGAGAAAUUAGGUAAAUCCGGUUUCUCUUAAGGCUGAGACACGACGUCGAGCUACUACGGUAGUGAAGUCAUUGAUGCCAUGCUUCCAGGAAAAGCCUCUAAGCUUCAGAUUGUAAGGAAUCGUACCCCAAACCGACACAGGU
rnacentral:rRNA from 1 species